GCACUGGACAUGCGCCGCAGAGCAUGAUGGAAGCAGGAAGUAGCUGCAACGCUUUGUUUGGGAGUACGGGAAGGCUCUUGGGGGAGACUCCUGCGUCCGAGCCGCGACUUGAGAUCCUCGGGGAACCAGGUGGAUCUAUGUACUUCUACUGCUUUCUGAUUUCCUCCUCUAGAUGCUCUCUGGUCAUUCAAGUGCCUCUCAACUGACUGGCUUCAUGCUUUGAGCUGGAAGAAAUUGCCCAAUAUUUCUGAAGUUCAAGUAAAUAUAUAAUAAAUAUAA